ensembl:snoRNA small nucleolar RNA, C/D box 57
CGGAUGUGAUGUGAAAUUGCCGUCCUGACCCAGCGGUGGAGGCAAAAAACUGAUUUAAUGAGGCUGAUCC